AGAGUUUGUAUCAUGGCGUCAGAAUAGAACGUUGGUCGGCGUCGGAUUAGGUAUGCGAGUCGUGCGAGAACCGUAGCAAUACGGGGACAGCGGCGAAAGGGAGAGGAACACGUGGAUACCUACCCUCAGGUUCAGGAUAGCUGUGGGAAACUAUAGGUAAUACUGAAUAAUAUCUCCGGAUCAAAGGUGUGAUUCCGCCGGAGGAGGGGUCCGCGUCCUAUUAGCUAGUUGGUGAGGUAAUGGCUCACCAAGGCGAAGAUGGGUACGGGAUGUGAGAACAUGAUCCCGCUCAUUGGGACUGAGACACUGCCCAGACACCUACGGGUGGCUGCAGUCGAGAAUCUUCGGCAAUGGGGGAAACCCUGACCGAGCGACGCCGCGUGUGAGAUGAAGGCCUUCGGGUUGUAAAUCACUGUCGUAGAGGAGGAAGUGUAGGUGGGUUCUCCCACUUACUUGACCUAUUCUAGGAGGAAGGACGGGCUAGGUUCGUG
rnacentral:rRNA from 1 species